GGGCUCACACAAGCGGUGGAGGAUGUGGCUUAAUUCGAGGCUACGCGAAGAACCUUACCUAGACUUAACAUGUUUGAGAAUCUCUGUGAAAGCAGAGAGUGGCCUUUACGGGGAAACUCUUACGUAGGUGCUGCAUGGCUGUCGUCAGCUCGUGUCGUGAGAUGUCGGGUUAAGUCCCUUAACGAGCGAAACCCUUAUCUUCAGUUGCCAGCAUUUAGUUGGGGACUCGUAGGAGACUGCCGGGGUUCAACUCGGAGGAAGGUGGGGAUGACGUCAAGUCAUCAUGCCCCUUAUGCCCAGGGCUGAAACACGCUACAAUGGCUGGUACAGAGGGCUGCGAACCCGCGAGGGCAAG
rnacentral:rRNA from 1 species